rnacentral:lncRNA from 1 species
GUGUUCGUCCUCUUGGAGCUGUGUUUUGUCCCGUUGCUCCUCCCACUGAUGAGUAGCAACAAGUGAACAAGCAAAAUGUUGUGCAGCUUUCACCAAAAGUGAGGUCCAUGCUUGCUGUAAUAUUCCUCCAUAAUGAAAAAGUAGCAGCGGUAGCAAAGCAAAAGUACCUUCGCCUUUCGUUGAAUUAUUACUGUCAACAGGUCCGUUUGUUUGUCACCACCCCACCACACCUGCAAUCCAGUUUGCUGCUACAUUAGAAUCUUGAGGCCUUACAUCACAACAACUUGUUAAUUUGAACUGAGAUUCAGUGGUUUAGCGCCAAACGUACUGCAGCAGGACAG